rnacentral:rRNA from 1 species
AGUGAACGCUGGCGGUAGGCCUAACACAUGCAAGUCGAACGGCAGCACAGGAGAGCUUGCUCUCUGGGUGGCGAGUGGCGGACGGGUGAGGAAUACAUCGGAAUCUACUUUUUCGUGGGGGAUAACGUAGGGAAACUUACGCUAAUACCGCAUACGACCUACGGGUGAAAGCAGGGGAUCUUCGGACCUUGCGCGAUUGAAUGAGCCGAUGUCGGAUUAGCUAGUUGGCGGGGUAAAGGCCCACCAAGGCGACGAUCCGUAGCUGGUCUGAGAGGAUGAUCAGCCACGCUGGAACUGGGACACGGUCCAGACUCCUACGGGAGGCAUCAGUGGGGAAUAUUGGACAAUGGGCGCAAGCCUGAUCCAGCCAUACCGCGUGGGUGAAGAAGGCCUUCGGGUUGUAAAGCCCUUUUGUUGGGAAAGAAAUCCAGCUGGUUAAUACCCGGUUGGGAUGACGGUACCCAAAGAAUAAGCACCGGCUAACUUCGUGCCAGCAGCCGCAGUAA